rnacentral:rRNA from 1 species
UACGUAGGUGGCAAGCGUUGUCCGGAUUUAUUGGGUUUAAAGGGUGCGUAGGCGGCGCGGUAAGUCGGGUGUGAAAUCUCGGAGCUUAACUCCGAAACUGCAUUCGAUACUGCCGUGCUUGAGGACUGGAGAGGAGACUGGAAUUUACGGUGUAGCGGUGAAAUGCGUAGAUAUCGUAAGGAAGACCAGUGGCGAAAGGCGGGUCUCUGGACAGUUCCUGACGCUGAGGCACGAAGGUCAGGGGAGCAAACGGG